rnacentral:lncRNA from 1 species
GUUGAUAUUAUGGAGGGCAUUGAUAACCCGUGGGCAGAUGACAAAAAUGGAAGUCUGAAAAGCUUAGAGAAACCAGAGCACAUGAAUAAUGGGAGAAUUGAGGUGAUGUCAUUUGACAACCUGGAAGGCACCAGAGGAGAUGAUGCUGAAAAAGAUGAAAUUCAGGCCCCUGAAAAAGACAAUUACCUGGAGACAGUGCUGCUGUAUUACAAGGGUGAAAGUGGGGAAAAUGGAGCCCCUGAAAAAGCUGCUGAAAGUAGAAAUGUGGAGGUCCAGCCCACAGCGAGAUUCACAACAGAACAGGACUCCUUUCCAAGAGACACAAACCAGGAGCCAGCUCUCCCCUUAACACCUCAGCCCACACUGCCUGCCCCUGGGAAAGAGGUGAAAGGAGUGAAAUUUUCAGAGGUGGCAGUGAUUUUGGACCAUGAGCCUGGAGAUGAUGAGUCUGAAAACGAUGAAUUUGGUGAUGAUAUAUCCCUCUGAUAAGGACACUCGAUGAAGAACAUUUUUAGAAAAACCACAAUGAGACUCAUUGGAACAGCUCAGAAUUAAAUGAGCUAUAAGAAUAUGGGAAUGUUAUCCAGAUUUUAAUGUUGUUGCUAUUUUAAAGAUGGAUAAAGAAGACAACAAGCAAUGUGCGGGAAGGGCUGCAGUGCUGUGCUGCAGGGUUGCUUUCCCAGCAGCAGCGCUGUCUCACUGUGUAUUUAAUUUCUUCUGGCACGUGUCAAAUGGGCAAGACAAUAAACCCGAUUCCAGCGGCGCUGCCUUGUCA